UACAUGUGGGGCAAGCGUUGUUCGGAAUUACUGGGCAUAAAGGGUGCGUAGGCGGCUUGUUAAGUCAGGGGUGAAAGUUUUCGGCCCAACCGGAAAAUUGCCUUUGAUACUGGCGAGCUGGAGUGCGUGAGGGGUGACCGGAACGAGUGGUGUAGCGGUGAAAUGCGCAGAUAUCAGGAGGAACACCGGUGGCGAAGGCGGGUCUCUGGGCCGGUACUGACGCUAAGGAGCGAAAGCGUGGGGAGCGAACAGG
rnacentral:rRNA from 1 species